UGAGAUAGGGAGAUCAGGGGAGGCAGCCUUCUAAGCUGUAGGUGGCCCGUUCGAGUCGGGCGUGUCGCGG
rnacentral:tRNA from 1 species